GAAGAAGUUAAUAAAAAGGAUUUAGUAUUAUUUACAGAAUAAUAAGAAUAUAAUAAUAUUAUUACGAGUCGGUUGUGUUAAUUUCGGAUUUAUAAAGGUUAAACCGAGUUCACCCGAUCUAGAGUUACCACUUUUAGAAGGCUAUAAAAAGGGAAAUGAGAGGAGAAAUUUCAGAAAAACCCUAAGUUUUCCUUUCUCCUUCUCAGCCGUCAUCUCCUUCUUCCCUCUCAAUUUCUCUCUCCUCUCUAGCUGGUCUUCUCUCUCGCGCUGCUCUUCCUCUUCUCUCUCGGAUCUCUUGUCCUUCCCUCGCCGUUCGUCUCUUCUUCGUCCCCUCGUUGGAUUCCUUCGCGGAUCCUCGUCGAGGUUGCUGGGCGUGCGGAGACGAGCGCACGAGCGAAGGCUGUGCGGUGUUCAAGAUGAGCGAGCGGGUCUGUGCGUAGGGAGUUCAAAGAUCGAGCGAGUUGUGACGAGCGACGACGUGCGAGGGCUGCGAUUGACGAGGCUGGGCGAGGGCUGCGAGCGACGAAGCUGGUGCGAGGCUCGGGUGCGAGCAAAGGAGCGAGCAGGAGGGGCGUUGUGCGACGAAGCUCGAAGUGCGAGUCGAGUGGUUCGAGUGUUGAGCGAGGGACGACGAAGGCUUGCGCGAGGCUGCUGCUGCUGCUGUGCGAGUUGUGCGACGAAGCUCGAAACGUGCGCUGCUGCUGCUGUGCGAGUGGUGCGACGAAGUUGUUGCGCCGUUGCCGGAAAUCGGUCGCCGGAAAUUGAUUGCCGGCGAGCUUAACGGUCCCAAUUUCAUAAGCGGAACGUUCGAUUAAGACAGCGAAAAUUCUCUGUUACAAGACUAGGUGUGCCGGUGCUGCUGCAUAAUCUCGAGCAUACGGGGACUAGGCUUGGGUAUCUACAUUUAAAGCAUUUUGAAAUAAGUAUUAUUGGUUUUUUCUAAGACUUAUAUAUGGUUUGUGGUUUGAAUGAAAGGGGUCAUUGAUGAUUCCCGAGUUGUAUUUAUAUUUUAAUUCCGCUGCAUUUUAGUUUUCAAGUUGAUAUUUUAAGUUAUCGUUAACCCUUAUUAUGCCUUGCGUUCCAUCGCGGCGGUAACGCCCCCGAGGUCGACGCGACGCAGCAGUGGUAGGCGCGCGUGGAUUUCGGGGG